UUUCCGUAGGUGAACCUGCGGAAGGAUCAUUAUUGGAUAACCGAGGUGCGAGGGCUGUCGCUGACCCGAAAGGUCGUGCACGCCCGAGUGCCCUCACACACAUCGAUCUCACCCCUAUGUGCACCACCGCGUGGGUCCCCCUUUGGCUUGUUCGGAGGGGGGCUUACGUUUUCACACAAACUUUGUAUGCAGUGUAGAAUGUAUUUUUUGUUUUUGCGAUCACGCAAUCAAUACAACUUUCAACAACGGAUCUCUUGGCUCUC
rnacentral:misc_RNA from 1 species